rnacentral:rRNA from 1 species
UCUCAGUUCGGAUUGGAGUCUGCAACCCGAACUCCAUGAAGCUGGAUUCGCUAGUAAUCGCGCAUCAGCCACGGCGCGGUGAAUACGUUCCCGGGCCUUGUACACACCGCCCGUCAAGCCAUGGAAGCCCGGGGGGUGCCUGAAGUGCGCUGCCGCAAGGAGCGCCCUAGGGUAAAACCGGUGACUGGGGCUAAGUCGUAACAAGGUAGC